rnacentral:lncRNA from 1 species
AAAUACAAUAAACAAUGAGAUGCAGAUAACAAGAGAUACAUCUAAAACCAUUAAUAGCAACAGGUUAUAAGUAGAAAUAUGGACAAAGGAAUAUCAGGAAAUGCUAAUAAAAAGCAAGCUAUAUGGUAUUGUUAAUAUCAGAUAAAAAUCAAGGUAAACUACAUUAAAUAGGGGUAAGGAUGGUUUCGAUUAACCUUCCAACGCAUCACUAUAAGUUUGUUUCUGACUCUCCUUAUCUCAUCUAUUUCAUCCACUUCUCUAAACAUAUCUUCAUUGCUUAAAUGCCUGUUGUGUAUAUCUUCUUUAAACUCCUGGAGAGAUUGAAUCAGCCUUUCUCUAAAAGUUCCUUUUGCUUUGGCCUCCUCCUCUAGCUUCUCCUCCUCUUCUGGCUUUUCCUCAGGCUUUGGCUCUUCCUCAUGCUUUGGUUCACUCUCAUUUUCUGGUUUUCCUUCCAUUUUUUGACAGGAUUUCAUCUUGUAUCUGUCUACCUCUCUUCCUUCCUUCUUUUCUUUCUUGCUUAUUCUUCUUUGAAUACAAUGACUUAUAGAAAGCAAAAAGAAGACAGUAAGUUAAAGACUUGGUGAGUGGACAGGUGCUGUGGACAGAGGCCUUAGCAUUUAAUUUUUUUUAUUCAGAGCUGUUAUAAAAUAUCUUCCACCUGAGAAGCCCAGUCAGCAAUCAGAGCUUCACUAUCCCCACUCCUUUUACCUCCACUUUCCACCUCCUCACUUCUCUCUUGUCCUUCCCUCUAACCUUUUCCAAGGCCCUCCUUUCCGCCGUCCAGCCCUCCCCAGACCUUUUUCCCCCAUAGGGCCUAACACAGGGACCAGGCCAGAAAAGAGAAAGGUGGCUGGCAGGCAGAGGAAGAGGGGAAAGGAGAAGGGGGAGAGAAAAGAAGAGGGGAAAGGGGUGGGGUGGAAGGGAGCCGGCAGGAACGGUGGCGCUUACAACCUUUGUCUCCACCCCAGGAGACUUUAUAAUAUUCCUCUCACCUACCUGGCACUGAUCGGGUCAGUUUCUUCCUCCUCCUUUUCUAGCUUUGGGUCUUGCUGGAAACAACAGACCUGCAGAUAAACUGGAAACGGGAGGGGACGGUGGGGGUGGGGCGAGCGCUUGGUGGGCCGACCAGCGCCAGAGACUGACACACGUAGCUUUCCUCCUUUAGGGUUUCGGAUAUGGAAAGUUUCCCACCUUUUGUUUCCCCUAGUUCACCCCCUCUCCACAGUGCAUGCAAGUCAGUUCGUUUUUUCCAUCAGACAAAGAGUGAGAAAGCAGAUUAUUUCCAAACUAUCUUUAAGACUGAGGCGGGGUUCGGGAGGAGGGUGGGGGUCCGGAAAGCAGUCUUAGAUAGCAGAGGAUGAUUAUUUUUAAACUAUCACAGGUCUCCCUGUUCUUCUUCUAGGACCCCUAGUCCCUUUCCCAAGGGUCAUCAGUUCCUGUAGACCUGGAGGUGGAGGGUGGAGGGACGGACCUGACCGGCACUCCCACAAGUCUCUGCCUUAAACCCCCCCACACUAGAAAUCCCCAGUCAACACCUACAGUGACACCAACCUGCAAAAUUCCCGCAAGUUUGACUCCUUCCACGGGCCUCAGGGACCACCGCCUGCGCUGCUGAAGGAAGCUGGUAUCCAGACGGGAACAAGGACCAGAUUACCAGGACUUCUGCACACGUCGACUCCUGGUCACAUGAGAUCUACGUCACCAAGUCCUCAUGGUGGUGUUACCAGGAAGC